rnacentral:tRNA from 1 species
CGGGGAAUUAGCUCAGUUGGUAGUAGCGUUUGCUUUGCAAGCAAAAUGUCAGGAGUUCGAGUCUCCUAUUCUCCA